CCAGCGGCCAUUUUGAGGAGGAGGGAGUGCGGUCAAAGCAAUGGAGUGAAAGUGGUAUUAUGUUUUUAUAUCUUUACAUAUUAAUACACAAUGUUUUGUAUAUGUUUGUUUUUUUAUUAUUGUUCAGCGAGAAAGAAAACAACCCUUCCUAGCUAAGCCUGAGGUUACGAUGAAGAAAGACUAGCACAUCCUCGGGGAUGUUGCCGAGUGGUGUGAGGAGCACUCUGAGGAACCUGAACCCGACCAACACACCCUCUGUGGAGGUGGUCACCCAUAUCUCUCGCAGAGGUCACUGAGGUAGUGAAGAAGCUCCUUGGUGCUCACAAAAGGCUGCUUUCUUAUAACUUUAUUUAAGUUACAUAUUCUUUUACACAUUAAAUAAUUAUCAACCGACUGUAGUCGACAUUACUGAGAGCUGCUUCCUCUCUCUUUCUCUGUGCUCAGAGAAAUCAGUUCUUUAC